GAGGGUAUAGCUCAAGUGGCAGAGCAAAUGCUUAGCAUGCAGGAGGUCCUGGUUUCAAUCCCCAGUACCUUCU
rnacentral:tRNA from 1 species